rnacentral:tRNA from 1 species
GGGGUAAUAGCUCAGUGGUAGAGCACACACUUAGCACGCACGAGGUCCAGGGUUCAAUCCCCAGUACCUCCA